ACCAGGAUGGCUGAGCGGUUAAGGCGUUGGACUCAAGAUUUAAUGUACAUAUGUCCUCGUGGGUUCGAUCCCCACUCCUGGUA
rfam:Salmo salar isolate Sally breed double haploid chromosome ssa27, whole genome shotgun sequence.